UACGUAGGGUGCGAGCGUUAAUCGGAAUUACUGGGCGUAAAGGGUGCGCAGGCGGUUAUAUAAGACAGAUGUGAAAUCCCCGGGCUCAACCUGGGAACUGCGUUUGUGACUGUAUGACUAGAGUACGGUAGAGAGGGGUGGAAUUCCUGGUGUAGCAGUGAAAUGCGUAGAUAUCAGGAGGAACAUCGAUGGCGAAGGCAGCCCCUUGGACCGUGUACUGACGCUCAUGCACGAAAGCGUGGGGAGC
rnacentral:rRNA from 1 species